rnacentral:rRNA from 1 species
UACGUAGGCAGCGAGCGUUGUUCGGAGUUACUGGGCGUAAAGAGUAUGUAGGCGGUUGCGUAAGUUUGGUGUGAAAUCUCCCGCUUAACUGGGAGGGUGCGCCGAAAACUGCGUGGCUAGAGUGUGGGAGAGGAAAGCGGAAUUCCUGGUGUAGCGGUGAAAUGCGUAGAUAUCAGGAGGAACACCGGCGGUGUAGACGGCUUUCUGGACCAUUACUGACGUGAGAUACGAAAGCGUGGGUAGCAAACAGG